rnacentral:lncRNA from 1 species
UGGCCUAGUUGUUGAGCGUCGAGGUGCCUCUACACUUGCACUUGCGAGGAAGGCUGCAAAAGCUCUGAGCCAAAUCCCCAGCCCUCUUCUGAUUUUCUGUAGAGCAGGAAAUGCACAGGUGGGAGGUGACCUGAAGGGUCCCCCCUGAAUUAAGAUGGAAUGAAGGACCAGUUUAGUAGCUUCUCAGAUACAGUGGUGAUAGAUUUGCUUUUGCAAUGCUAUUAAAUAAAAUAAUGAUAUUCACUCUUUUUAAAGUGAUGGGGCUCCCUGGAGCUGACUUUAACCAUGGAGAAAUCCAACCUCAGCCCCACCCCUGAGCCACCCCCGGGGCCAUGCUGCCCAUCACCUCUGAAAGCUACAGUGCUUUGGAUCUGACUGUGAAGGGAAGACAGCAUUCCUGUUCCUGACUCUCGCCUGGGCCAAGCCCCUGACAGGAUAGAGCACUAACAGUGAAAUGAGAAUAUCUCUGUGAGGAAGAGGAAACAAAUGUCAUCAGGAAAACAUCAAGGAAUCUGGGAGAGAGAAAGCAAACAGAAAAUGAGCAAACAGAAGAGGGCAGAAGAGGCCUGGCUGGUGACAGUCCUCAGAGAAAUUGCGAGGCUCCUGGCUGCCUGGGUAAAGGCUACAGCAGAAACAGGUCAGCUGAGAGACUCCUCUGCCAAGCCCCCACGGCCCCCAAGUCCCCGCCCAGAAGCUGCGAAAUUGCGACAGAGACCAA